rnacentral:rRNA from 1 species
CCUACGGGAGGCAGCAGUGAGGAAUAUUGGUCAAUGGGCGUAAGCCUGAACCAGCCACGUCGCGUGAGGGAUGAAGGUUCUAUGGAUCGUAAACCUCUUUUGUACGGGAAUAAAGUGUGGGACGUGUCCUAUUUUGUAUGUACCUUAUCAUUAAGGAUCGGCUAACUACGUGCCAGCAGCCGCGGUAAUACGGAGGAUCCGAGCGUUAUCCGGAUUUAUUGGGUUUAAAGGGUGCGUAGGCGGCCUUUUAAGUCAGCGGUGAAAGGCUGUGGCUCAACCAUAGGAUUGCCGUUGAAACGGGAGGGCUUGAGUGUAUUAGAGGCAGGCGGAAUGCGUGGUGUAGCGGUGAAAUGCUUAGAUAUCACGCAGAACCCCGAUUGCGAAGGCAGCCUGCCAAGCCAUGACUGACGCUGAUGCACGAAAGCGUGGGGAUCAAACAGGAUUAGAUACCCCAGUAGUC